rnacentral:lncRNA from 1 species
CUGCCUGCCAUGGGAUGAGCACCUUUCCUCUGCCAUCCCCUCCUCAUACUGUUUCUGCCUGGGACCCAACUGACCAUGGACUGAAACUGUGAGCCAAAACAUUAAAGGUGGAAAUGAAUCUGCUGAUUUCUGCUCAGCCGCUGAGCAGCAGCACCUGCAGGCCUGAUUAACAGCAGGUCCUGCCAGCUCUGAGGGAGAUCUCUGACUAGUUUCCUUCAGUCCUGUGGGGGGGACGCGGAUGGAAAGCGAGCUGACCAAGAAGGCGUUUGGGGAACGUGGAAGAACACUGAAAGGUAAUCAGUCAUCUAAGGAAACUGCCAGGGGCAUUCUCUACCUAGCGUGGAAAGGAAACGUGACCCUGAUUUACUGCAUCAAGCAAUAGUUUUCCAAGCACAGGAAGCUGUGUUUACCAACAGAGAACGUCAGGCCGCUUGGUGGUUAUGAGGCCCAAGAAUUAAAAUGAACUCUAUCACUACCGCCAGAUUCCCGGAAGGACGAUGACCUGGUGUAGGCUGCAUGUGCGAGGGCGGUGGCCGAGAGCGCCCCUUAUCCACCUGCCAGCAGCACCAGGAGAGAAGCAGCGAUGCACAUCGAUCGGUGAGGUGGGGCAGGGAGCCCACUAUGAAGGAGAGCUGAUAACUACGGCACCUGAGAGAAUCAAAGCAGCUCGAGCCACACAUGCAAUGUCG